AUACGGAGGGUGCAAGCGUUACUCGGAAUUACUGGGCGUAAAGCGCACGUAGGCGGACUGGAAAGUUGGGGGUGAAAUCCCGGGGCUCAACCCCGGAACUGCCUCCAAAACUUCCAAUCUCGAGAUCGAGAGAGGUGAGUGGAAUUCCAAGUGUAGAGGUGAAAUUCGUAGAUAUUUGGAGGAACACCAGUGGCGAAGGCGGCUCACUGGCUCGAUACUGACGCUGAGGUGCGAAAGCGUGGGGAGCAAACAGGAUUAGAAACCCCAGUAGUCC
rnacentral:rRNA from 1 species